UUCCCUGGACCCUAAGACAACUAUUUCCUAAGGUUAUCUUGUCUGCGGAAAAGCUUUGAACUUGCUAGGUUAUUUUUCUUCUCAUUUUGUUAUCAGUUUUCAACCGAUUUGAGCGUUUAGGAAAGGAAAAUAUAAAAUUGAUGAUUGUGGAUGUUGGAGGAGCUGCUCUUGGAGCAGCAAUUACAUUGCUGUACGAUGCGGUAAAAGAAAUGACUAAAAAGAACAUAAUGUUCAAGCCGUCCCUGAGGAGCCUCAUGGCAACGCUAGAAAUUUUGAAACCGCUGAUGAAAGAGGUGAAACAGUUAAACGAAUUACUGACUCAACGAAUACAAGAAUCAGCAUAUUACGAGUCUCAGAUAAAGGAAGGGGAGAAGCACAUCCGCAAGUGCUCCAGGGUUGGUCGGUAUAACAUUUUGAACAAGUCAUACUACACCAACAAGCUGCUGGAAUUGGAUCAGAACCUCAAGUCGUUGAUAAUAUCUUUGUCGUCAGCAAGGGAUUGCAAGGAGACGUUGAUUGGGGUAAACAAAAUAUUGGAGUUGUUGCCAGCUUCUGGGUUGUCAGCAGUGGAUUCCAAUGAGAUGUUGGAUUUGUUACGCAAAAUUUUUGACAUGAUCCAGCGAAGCCAAGGCAUUAAUAUUGCCGAAUCUCAUCGGGUUACAUCAAUGCUUUCCAGUAACACUAGUACUCCACCUCUGCCUCCGCCUAAGCCUAAGGAACCCCUGCCUCCACCUCCACCUCCGCCACCUCUAACUCCGCCGAAUGUUAAGGCACCUCCACCUCCGUCUCCGCCUCCGCCGUUCUCAGACAACAACUCAAACGUUAGUAACAAUAUUGAUAAUUACGGAUCUGCUCCGGGAAAAAGUCAAAGUCAAAAUAUUAAUGAAGGCCAAGAUAAUGUGGCAGUGGAACUUCAUGGAGGGAUUCGUCUUGCUCAUCCAUUCCGAACAUUAUUUGAUGUGGUUAGAGAAGUUAAAGACAAGGCUUUGAUGUUCAAACCCAUCCUCAAUAAACUCGAAGCCAGGUUACGAGUUAUGGCUCCACUGCUCAUGGAGAUUCAAAGAGUUGACAGGGAACUGGAUCUGCCAGAAAGUGAAGCGGCAGAUAUUAUGUUAGAAAUGGAGAAGGGGACAGCGCUAGUUCGAAAGUGCUCCAAGAUUCAUUGGUUUAAGUUAUGCAUAAAGCCUUACUACACCGGGAUGUUGCUUGAAUUGGAUGACACUCUAUGUAGGUUGCUUCAGAUACUACAGGUUCAGGCAGCAAGAGAUAUGAAGAAGAACUUGGUUCUCGUACGGGAAAUGCAAGCCAAAAUCACUGGAGUUGGAAGCAAUACUAUUGCAGGACGUAAUCAGAUUCUUUCAAGGGCUUCAUCCAUUGUAUCUCUAAGUCCCACAGCUCUCAGAGGAUGAGGGUAUACCCUUCCCAACACAAAAUUUCCGUCUGCAUGAAUCAAGUACAAGGUUCCAUUUUUCAUAUAUAAAUCAUCAGUUUCAAUAUUGCUACUGAAUUUUAAUUUCUAGCUUUCUAAUGUUUUCGUAUAAAUCAAUAUUCUACCAACUUUCAAAAUUGCUUUUCUCAUUUGCCUUCUCCUUGUAAUUUAAGAGUUUAAGCUGAUGUGGACAACAAGCAUCAAGCUUAAGUAGUACAAGUAUCCUAUUAAUUUUGGGAGAAGCUAGUUUCCUAAAGAUCAAUAUUCCUCCUAUUGUCCCUAUAUAUAUAUAUAUAUGUGAGAAUAUAUGUCAAAAUUGAUGUAAAUGGUUAGAGUGCUUGAAGACGUGGUGAUGCUCACAGCCAAUGAAGAUUACUUUUCCAUGAACUAUAAUUUAAACUUUUGUGGGCAAUAUUAAUUCCAUUUUUCUUUUUUCUUUUUUUCUUUUUUUCUUUUUCACCUGGUGAAUCGAAUAUUAAUUCCAUUUUUGUUGUUUUAAGCGAAGAGAUAUUUUAUCUGAAGUGUUUAUGGAAGUAAAGACUAUCCUAAAUUUUAUUUUUUA